rnacentral:lncRNA from 1 species
AAAUGUCCAUAUAGCCAAAAUGUCACUCAUUGACCUCGCAGGAUCUGAGCGGGCCAGUAUUUCUGGUACUAAAGGGACAAGAUUUGUAGAAGGCACAAAUAUUAACAAAUCUCUUCUAGCUCUUGGGAAUGUCAUCAAUGCCUUAGCAGAUACAAAGAGAAGAAAUCAGCAUAUUCCUUACAGAAAUAGUAAACUUACUCGUUUGCUGAAGGAUUCUCUUGGAGGAAACUGUCAAACUAUAAUGAUAGCUGCUGUUAGUCCUUCCUCUUUAUUCUACGAUGACACAUAUAACACUCUUAAGUACGCAAAUCGUGCCAAAGACAUUAAGUCUUCUCAGUUGAAGAGCAAUGUUGUCAACCUCAGUAGUCACAUAUCACAGUAUGUAAAGAUCUGCAACAUGCAGAA